rnacentral:rRNA from 1 species
AACGAACGCUGGCGGCGCGUCUUAAACAUGCAAGUCGAACGAUCUGUAGCAAUACAGGGAGUGGCGGACGGGUGAGGAACACGUAGGAAUCUACCUAGAAGAGCGGGACAACCCUGGGAAACCGGGGCUAAUACCGCAUAGUACAGUGAUGUUAAAGGGCUAGCAAUAGUAGCUUCUAGAUGAGCCUGCGGUCUAUCAGCUUGUUGGCGGGGUAACGGCCCACCAAGGCGACGACGGAUAGCCGGUCUGAGAGGAUGAUCGGCCACACUGGCACUGAGACACGGGCCAGACUCCUACGGGAGGCAGCAGUUAAGAAUCUUGCGCAAUGGACGAAAGUCUGACGCAGCGACGCCGCGUGAAGGAUGAAGGCUUUCGGGUUGUAAACUUCGGUAGACUGGGAAGAAAAAGUAAGUUCGUUGAGGGCUUACAUUGACGGUACCAGUCUGAAGCCCCGGCUAAUUACGUGCCAGCCGCCGCGGUAA